rnacentral:lncRNA from 1 species
GUAAAGACAUAUCCAAUAUAGUACUGUGUGCAUUGAAUUAAAGGGAUUUUUUUAAAGUUAUAUUCAAAUAUAUUUUAAUAAAUUUAAUUUGUAAGAAUAUUUAUAAAAAAAAUACUUGUAAGAAUUAACAAUAGUAGUGCAGUAUUUGAUUCGCAGUGGUGCGCCGCCUACGUAUGAAUAGCAAUGAUGAAGAGUGUAAUGCAGACAAAUCUACAUUGUACUCGGUAUGUGGGCGGCGCAGCCCUGCAAAUCAAAUACUGCAUUACUAUUGCAAAUUUGUAUAAUAUUUGUUUAUAAAUAACACUGAAGAGCAUUAAAAUGUAAAAAAUUUAAAUAAAAAUGCGUCUAGCAUGGGCACCGUUGUAUUGGUGUGCUCAUAUUGGUUCGAAUUGUUUAUUAUUGAAAAUGCAAAAAAUAUACAAUAGUAUGAUUUGCACCGCAUGUUGAUAUUAAUAUCGCAAGAAUUUCUAAAUAUUUAUCUGAGAGGUUUUUAGUUUUAAACAUAGAUAUUAAUAUAUCAUUCAUCUUUCAAAAAUGAUCAUUUUUUAAAUUAUUUUUUUCUGCCGUACAAUGUGCCGUAAAUAAAGAAAUACUUAAAGUAGUUUGACUAAAAGAAAGUUGAGAACAGCUGAUCUGGACUAGAUCCUUAAGAUGUUUUGGCAUCUUGGACUAGUGAUAUGAUGUUUGAUUUUAUAAUGAAUAGAGUUAUUAAUUAUUUAACAGCUCUUCGCCUAUUAAAUUGGCGUCCUGUUGCUACAACCCAUUUAGCUCAAUGGUUUUGGCAAUGCUGAAAUGUUGUUAUAAUUACAAUAUUUGAGAUUUUAACACCACAAAUCUGCAUGAAAGUUAUGAGAUGAUGACUAGCCAUGACGGGUUAGUUAAGAACCCAUCACGGCUAAACAGAUUUAUGGGAGUCAACGGGCAAAGAAAGGAUCUAGAUCAGUUGAUUGAUUCCGGAUUCUACAAGCAGCUGUUUGGAAGGGCCAUUGUUCUCUCAAGUUUUCAAAUAAAAUACUGUAAGCUUAAGCUAAAGCUAUAUUCAGAUGAUCAAAAUUCAUCAAUGUAAAGCCUGAUAACUAUAAUUGGCC